CUGCUGCCUCCCGUAGGAGUCUGGACCGUGUCUCAGUUCCAGUGUGGCUGGUCAUCCUCUCAGACCAGCUAGGGAUCGUCGCCUAGGUGAGCCGUUACCCCACCUACUAGCUAAUCCCAUCUGGGCACAUCCGAUGGCAAGAGGCCCGAAGGUCCCCCUCUUUGGUCUUGCGACGUUAUGCGGUAUUAGCUACCGUUUCCAGUAGUUAUCCCCCUCCAUCAGGCAGUUUCCCAGACAUUACUCACCCGACCG
rnacentral:rRNA from 1 species